rnacentral:rRNA from 1 species
UAGGGAAUCUUCGGCAAUGGACGGAAGUCUGACCGAGCAACGCCGCGUGAGUGAAGAAGGUUUUCGGAUCGUAAAGCUCUGUUGUUAGAGAAGAACGUUGGUAGGAGUGGAAAAUCUACCAAGUGACGGUAACUAACCAGAAAGGGACGGCUAACUACGUGCCAGCAGCCGCGGUAAUACGUAGGUCCCGAGCGUUGUCCGGAUUUAUUGGGCGUAAAGCGAGCGCAGGCGGUUCUUUAAGUCUGAAGUUAAAGGCAGUGGCUUAACCAUUGUACGCUUUGGAAACUGGAGGACUUGAGUGCAGAAAGGGAGAGUGGAAUUCCAUGUGUAGCAGUGAAAUGCGUAGAUAUAUGAAGGAACACCGGUGGCGAAAGCGGCUCUCUGGUCUGUAACAGACGCAGAGGCUCGAAAGCGUGGGGAGCAAACAGG